rnacentral:tRNA from 1 species
GGAGCGGUGGCUGAGUGGUCGAAAGCGCCGGAUUGCUAAUUCGGUGAUGGGGUCAAACCUAUCCGCAGGUUCAAAUCCUGUCCGCUCCGC